CUACGGGCCGCUGCAGUGGGGAAUAUUGCGCAAUGGGCGAAAGCCUGACGCAGCCAUGCCGCAUGAAUGAGGAAGGCCUUCGGGUUGUAAAAUUCUGUCACUAGUGAAAAAUAGCUAGAUUUCAAAUAGGCUUCUAGUCUGAUGGUAACUAGAGAGGAAGCACCGGCUAACUUCGUGCCAGCAGCCGCGGUAAUACGAAGGGUGCAAGCGUUGUUCGGAUUUAUUGGGCGUAAAGCGCGCGCAGGCGGAUUUGUAAGCCAGAUGUGAAAUCUCGGGGCUCAACCCCGAAACUGCGUCUGGAACUGCUAAUCUAGAAUAUCGGAGAGGGAAGUGGAAUUUCGCAUGUAGGGGUAAAAUCCGUAGAGAUGCGAAGGAACACCGGAGGCGAAGGCGACUUCCUGGACGAUUAUUGACGCUGAGGCGCGAAAGCGUGGGGAGCAAACAGGAUUAGAUACCCUGGUAGUC
rnacentral:rRNA from 1 species